rnacentral:tRNA from 1 species
GGCCUAGUGUAAGCUAGGUUGUAACGGAAGAGCGGCCGGUUGAAGCCCGGCAGGUCGCAGGUUCAACUCCUGCCGAGGGCA